rnacentral:lncRNA from 1 species
AUAUAUACGACUACACCCUCAGAAGCUCAGUCUACUUUUAAUUAUAUGAAUGAAACUUACGUAAAAAAAUUUGUUUUCUUACUUGGGUCGCCGGAGAAACAAUAUUCCGGCAACCUGAGAUAUAAGUUAUUAACCGGAUUAAUGGCAAAGGGUCGAAAGUUGACCACCAGUCGGAGUGAAAGGUUUUUAGGGAGUUUUGGUUACAAUCGGGAGCAAGAAACAGUCGCCGGCUCGUCGGAGUUUGGAGAAGAUGAAGUUUGGUCAACUUUUGAUAACACAGUCAACGCUGAUAAUCAUCUGGUCAAUGUCGAAUGGACUUCAGUUGCUGGUUCCGAGAGUAAUGGAAGCUUCCCCGGUUACAGGAGCCGUAGUCAUGCUCCACGCGCUGCCAGACACGAGCACCACACUCACCGCCACGUUGGAGGCCUGUCAUCGGCUUUCAAGGAUUCGAGUUCUCCUAGGAUCGCGCAUCAGUUUCGAAGCCAGGAUAACAUGGCGGAAUCUCCACGUGGGCGCCAUAUAGCCACGUCGGCUCCAGUUAAUGUGCCGGAUUGGUCGAAGAUUUAUCGAAUCAAUUCGUCCGAGUCACUUCACAACUCGGAUGAUGGAUUCGAACAUGGUGAAUCCGAAUUAGUCCCACCACACGAGUACUUGGCACGAAGCCAAGACAUGGCUGCAAACUCGAUGUUUGAAGGUGUUGGUCGAACCCUCAAGGGACGUGAUAUGAGCCGAGUUCGAGAUGCAGUGUGGAGCCAGACUGGGUUCCACGGCUAAUUAUAACAAAUAUGGUGUCUAAUUACCAAAUAUCUCCUUGUCUAGGGGAUAGAGAUCAUAGUUAGUGGCCUAAUUGAAGUGCCUCAAGUGUGUAAUAUUGUGGCUGGUGAAUUAUUUUGAGCCCAAUCCUAAUAUUUAGUUUAGAAGUUCUCUUUGUAUUUAUCUCUAUUGUAAUGGUAGAAGACUUGGGUUCCAUGAAAUAUUGACACGCUUAAAUCGAAGUGCUAUGUAUAUAGCCCCCGUUUGGUAGCAAUUUUUCACUCAAAAAAAUCGAUUUUUUGAUCAUUA